CGUAGGGACCAAGCGUUGUUCGGAUUUACUGGGCGUAAAGGGCGCGUAGGCGGCUUAACAAGUCACUUGUGAAAUCUCCGGGCUUAACUCGGAACGGCCAAGUGAAACUGUCAAGCUAGAGUGCGAAGGGGCAAUCGGAAUUCUUGGUGUAGCGGUGAAAUGCGUAGAUAUCAAGAGGAACACCUGAGGUGAAGACGGGUUGCUGGGCCGACACUGACGCUGAUGCGCGAAAGCCAGGGGAGCAAACGGGAUUAGAUACCCCGGUAGUCCUGGCCCUAAACGAUGAAUACUUGGUGUCUGGAGUUAUAUGUGCUCCGGGUGCCGUCGCUAACGUUUUUAGUAUUCCGCCUGGGGAGUACGCUCGCAAGAGUG
rnacentral:rRNA from 1 species